GUGAAAUGAUGAAUAAGUUUAUCCAUUCUCUGAGAAUUGCAAGCCACUUGCUUCAUUACAUGCUGAAUCCUGUUCUAGGUUCAGUGUGAAUUUCAUCUAUCUUGUGCCAUAUCUUCUUAGUGUCCUACUGAGAAGUUUUUGGUGCCUGUUUAGGUGUAUGUGAAUGUGAGAUGGUUUGUUAGGGUUGGGGCCAUUUUGUGCUCCCACCCAUAAAGAUGAGUGAUGCAUCUGAUCGC